GGGACCCAGUCGUUGUGCUGGAAAACUGGAGAUGAGGAAUCAAGGAAACUGGGAAAAAGUUAGAGACCUGAGAUUCACCUGGAACCUGACCAUGGCAGCGGAGGUGUGCAGAGAGCUCGACUGCGGCUCUGUGGUGUCAAUGAAAAGAGAUGAUCUUUACAGCUGGCAGGAUUUCAAAAUGGAGAUCACCUGUUCAGAUACAGUCAGAUUAGUAGAUGGGAACGGUCUGUGCUCAGGAAGGCUAGAGGUAAAGUCUGACAUGCUUAACCAGUCGUGGACCUCAGUAAAUCAGGAUGGUUUUGACCAGAAGGAUGCUGAGCUGGUCUGCAGGGAACUUGGCUGUGGGCCUCUUUCAGUCCUCCAGGGGAAGCCCUACAUAGAUGCUGGUGCUUCAUUAAGUCUCAAGUGCAGAGGCAGUGAAGCUGCUCUAUCAGACUGCCCCAGCUCUGUCUGGAAGAACUCUGGUAAAGUUGUCAGCUUGAGCUGUUCAGAAAGCAAGGAUGUCAGGCUGGUUGGAGGAUCCAGCCGGUGUGCCGGCACUCUGCAAAUGAAAUUCAAAGGAGAAUGGAAAUUGGUUUAUAAGAAUAGUUGGACUUUAAAGUUUGCUGGAGAAGUGUGUAAACAGCUGGACUGUGGCUCUCCACUUUCUAUCACAAGAAGAAUGAUGACCUCAGAAAAAGUCCUUUGGGAGCUGCGUAACUGUGACGGACCUUCGCUGAAAAGUUGUGUCCAAGGGAUCGUACAUUCCGAAUAUUUUAAUGAGAUGACAUGCUCAGACUCUGUCAGAUUGGUUAAUGGCAUCAACCACUGUUCAGGAAGACUGGAGGUGAAGCCGCAUGAGUUGUGGUCCUUAGUGUGUGAGGAUGGCUUUAAUCACCAGGAUGCAGAGGUGCUCUGCAGGGAGAUUGGCUGCGGGCCUGCUUUAGUUGUAGACAGGAGACGUUAUGGAGAAAUGUACACUCUAAUACUGAAAAAGGAGAUUCCCUGUGGUGUCAAUGAAUCUUCUCUACUGAACUGCGGAAGGCCGUGGCUUAGAAAAAGUACCUGCCCUAGUAAUUCUAAGAGUAUUUGGCUCACCUGUUCAGACCCAGAAGUCAGAUUUGUUGGAGGAGCUAAUCGCUGCACUGGUAACUUGGAGAUUAAACAGUUUGGAAGGUGGAGAGCAGCGGGUGACAGGGAUGAAAUCCGUGACUGGCCUCUGAUGCAAACCAAUGUCAUUUGUCAGAGGCUGGACUGUGGCAUGCCAUUUUCGAGACAAAUCAUCCUACAUUCAACAAAAUCUGUUUCACAGAUAGACUUUUUCUGCACUCAUACUCUGGAAUGCAUACAAGUAGAACAUAUUGAAAUUAUUUUCAGAGUGAAAAUCACCUGUUCAGACUCUGUAAGGCUGGUCAACAGUUCCAACCACUGCUCUGGUAGACUAGAGCUGAAAACGAACCAGUCGUGGUCUACGGUGUGUGAAAAGGACUUUGACAUGCAGGAUGCAGAGGUAGCCUGCAGGGAGCUUGGCUGUGGGUCUCCUGUGAUUCUCCAGGGAGCACUCUUUGGGGGAGAGAAGGCUCCCCUUAAAAGAAGGGAGUUCCACUGUGAAGGCAAUGAGUUAGCUCUGCGGAUCUGUAAAAGCUCAGACUCAGCCAGAAAGCCCUGCUCACCUGAAAACAUUCUUGGACUCACCUGUUCAGGCUACCUCAGGUUGGCGGGAGAGAAGAGCAGCUGUGCUGGGACUCUGGAGAUGUUAUACCAGGGACAGUGGAGACCAGUGGCUGACAAGUAUGAUCGACUGGAGACGAAGCUGUUUGCUUCUGUGUGCGCCGAGCUCGGGUGUGGUACUUUUGUUUCAGUGACAAAGAGAAUAGAACUUUCAGCAAGUCCUGUGUGGUGGAUCCUCUCACACUGUCCACAGUCAUUAUCUGAGCUGCGAGAGUGUGUAGUUCUGGAUGAUGCUACUCACGAUUCCAGCUUUGAAGUUAGAUGCUCAGACUCUGUAAGGCUGGUCAACAGUUCCAACCACUGCUCUGGUAGACUAGAGCUGAAAACGAAUCAGUCGUGGUCUACGGUGUGUGAAAAGGAAUUUGACAUGCAGGAUGCAGAGGUAGCCUGCAGGGAGCUUGGCUGUGGGUCUCCUGUGAUUCUCCAGGGGGCGCUCUUUGGGGGAGAGAAGGUUCCCCUUAAAAGAAGGGAGUUCCACUGUGAAGGCAACGAGUUAGUUCUCCAGGAAUGUAAAAGCUCAGACUCAGCCAGAAAGCCCUGCUCACCUGAAAACAUUCUUGGACUCACCUGUUCAGGCUACCUCAGGUUGGCGGGAGAGAAGGGCAGCUGUGCUGGGACUCUGGAGAUGUUAUACCAUGGAGAGUGGAGACCAGUGGCUGACAAGUAUUAUCUACUGGAGACGAAGCUGGCUGCUUCUGUGUGCGCUGAGCUCGGGUGUGGUACUUUUGUUUCAGUGACAAAGAGAAUGGAACCUUCAUCAAGUCCUGUAUGGUGGAUCCACUCAUCCUGUCCACAGUCAUUAUCUGAGCUGCAAGAGUGUGUAGUUCUGGAUGAUGCUACUCACGAUUCCAGCUUUGAAGUUAGAUGCUCAGACUCUGUAAGGCUAGUCAACAGUUCCAACCACUGCUCUGGUAGACUAGAGCUGAAAACGAACCAGUCGUGGUCUACGGUGUGUGAAAAGGACUUUGACAUGCAGGAUGCAGAGGUAGCCUGCAGGGAGCUUGGCUGUGGGUCUCCUGUAAUUCUCCAGGGGGCGCUCUUUGGGGGAGAGAAGGCUCCCCUUAAAAGAAGGGAGUUCCACUGUGAAGGCAACGAGUUAGUUCUGCCAGGAUCUGUAAAAGCUCAGACUCAGCCAGAAAGCCCUGCUCACCUGAAAACAUUCUUGGACUCACCUGUUCAGUUUUAUGUCUCUGUUUACAUCAAGGCUACCUCAGGUUGGCGGGAGAGAAGAGCAGCUGUGCUGGGACUCUGGAGAUGUUAUACCAUGGACAGUGGAGACCAGUGGCUGACAAGUAUUAUCUACUGGAGACGAAGCUGGCUGCUUCUGUGUGCGCUGAGCUCGGUUGUGGUACUUUUGUUUCAGUGACAAAGAGAAUGGAACCUUCAGCAAGUCCUGUAUGGUGGAUCCACUCAUCCUGUCCACAGUCAUUAUCUGAGCUGCGAGAGUGUGUAGUUCUGGAUGAUGAUACUCACGAUUCUAGCUUUGAAGUUAGAUGCUCAGGUACUUCAGUUGAUUUCAUCAUCAGACCAUUUGUCGUGCUGAUGGGUAUGAUGAUAUCAAUCUCCAUCCUUUACUGCUACUUUAAGGUCCGCAGCAGAAAAAAGAUAGAACG